UACGUAGGUGGCGAGCGUUGUCCGGAUUUACUGGGCGUAAAGAGCGCGCAGGCGGUCGUACAAGUCGCGUGUGAAAGCCCCCGGCUCAACUGGGGAGGGUCACGCGAUACUGUUCGACUCGAAGGCAGGAGAGGGAAGCGGAAUUCCCGGUGUAGUGGUGAAAUGCGUAGAUAUCGGGAGGAACACCAGUAGCGAAGGCGACUACCUGGCCUGUUCUUGACGCUGAGGCGCGAAAGCUAGGGGAGCAAACGGG
rnacentral:rRNA from 1 species